rnacentral:piRNA from 1 species
UAAACCUUCAGAGAGGCAGACACGCCUG